GAAUAUCGUUAUCUAUGGUUAGGUAGAUUAAUUGCAAAUUAAUUCUUAUAGGGUUCGAUUCCCUCGAUAUUCU